rnacentral:rRNA from 1 species
UACGAAGGGGGCUAGCGUUGCUCGGAAUUACUGGGCGUAAAGCGCACGUAGGCGGCUUGUUAAGUCGGAGGUGAAAUCCUGGAGCUCAACUCCAGAACUGCCUUCGAUACUGGCGAGCUCGAGUCCGGGAGAGGUGAGUGGAACUGCGAGUGUAGAGGUGAAAUUCGUAGAUAUUCGCAAGAACACCAGUGGCGAAGGCGGCUCACUGGCCCGGUACUGACGCUGAGGCGCGACAGCGUGGGGAGCAAACAGG